rnacentral:rRNA from 1 species
GGAAACUGGGAAACUUGAGUGCAGAAGAGGAGAGUGGAAUUCCACGUGUAGCGGUGAAAUGCGUAGAGAUGUGGAGGAACACCAGUGGCGAAGGCGACUCUCUGGUCUGUAACUGACGCUGAGGAGCGAAAGCGUGGGGAGCGAACAGGAUUAGAUACCCUGGUAGUCCACGCCGUAAACGAUGAGUGCUAAGUGUUAGGGGGUUUCCGCCCCUUAGUGCUGCAGCUAACGCAUUAAGCACUCCGCCUGGGGAGUACGGUCGCAAGACUGAAACUCAAAGGAAUUGACGGGGGCCCGCACAAGCGGUGGAGCAUGUGGUUUAAUUCGAAGCAACGCGAAGAACCUUACCAGGUCUUGACAUCCUCUGACAACCCUAGAGAUAGGGCUUUCCCUUCGGGGACCGAGCAA